rnacentral:lncRNA from 1 species
AUUAGUUGAUAUUUUCACCGAAUAAUUAACCAAAGAGUAUUUAUUACUGCCUCCGUCCCAUAAUAAUCUUAUUUUUUGUUUUUCCGUGUCCAAUGUUUGACCAUUCGUCUUAUUUGAAAUCUUUGCUGAGUUAAAUAUUAAAGCAACGUAAUCCGUCAAGUUACUUAUUAAUCUUACUCGAUCGGACGAGCUCCUGUAACUAAAUCAAACGAAACAGAUCGGACUUAACCUCGAACACGAUAUAAUUAUAAUUAUAGAAACAAUAUUACCAUUCUCUAUGUACACGGAGAGAGUUGCAAACUGUAAUUCCAAAACCCAAUUUCGUUUUCAUUAAAUCUUUUCUCUGUUUCGUGUUAGUGCCUGAGCCUGGCCCAUCGGCCAGUGACUCACAUCCGGAGACGUGGGCACAGCAACGCGAAGGGUAU